CACUGAAAAGGGCGAACCCGACCGAAAGGCGGGGGUGCAAAGUCACCGGUCUAAGGGGCAUCGGCUCUAUGACAACGGGAUUGCCAGG
rnacentral:ncRNA from 1 species